rnacentral:misc_RNA from 1 species
GAUGAAGAACGCAGCGAAAUGCGAUACGUAAUGUGAAUUGCAGAAUUCAGUGAAUCAUCGAAUCUUUGAACGCACCUUGCGCCCUUUGGCUAUUCCGAAGGGCAUGCCUGUUUGAGUAUCAUGAACACCUCAACUCUCAUGGUUCGCCAUGAUGAGCUUGGACUCUGGGGGUCUUGCUGGCCUAUGGUCAGCUCCUCUCAAAUAAAUCAGCUUGCCAGUGUUUGGUGGCAUCACAGGUGUGAUAACUAUCUACGCUUGUGGUUUUCCAUCAGGUAACCUUCAGUGAUGGAGGUUCGCUGGAGCUCAUAAAUGUCCCUCCUCAGCGAGGACAGCUUUUUGAACGUUUGAUCUCAAAUCAGGUAGGACUACCCGCUGAACUUAAGCAUAUCAAUAAGCGGAGGA